rnacentral:rRNA from 1 species
CCAUCACUACGCUAGAUGCAUAUCAAUAAGCGGAGGAAAAGAAACUAACAAGGAUUCCCCUUAGUAACGGCGAGUGAAGCGGGAAGAGCUCAAAUUUGAAAUCUUCAAGGUUUGACCUUGACGAAUUGUAGUUUAAAGAAGUGUUUUCGGUUAGAGGAGUAGUAAAAGUUCUUUGGAAUAGGACAUCAUAGAGGGUGAGAAUCCCGUAUUUGACUAUUCUUUCUAACUUUGUGAUACACUUUCAAAGAGUCGGAUUGUUUGGGAAUGCAGUCCAAAAUGGGUGGUAAAUUUCAUCUAAAGCUAAAUAUUGGCGAGAGACCGAUAGCGAACAAGUACCGUGAGGGAAAGAUGAAAAGAACUUUGAAAAGAGAGUUAAACAGUAGCGUGAAAUUGUCAAAAGGGAAGCGUUUGACACCAGUGUUGUUUUUCCGAAAAUCAAUUAAAAAUUGAUUCAUGCCAGGUUGUAUUGACCUUAUCAGCUUGCAAUUUGGUUUUGGGUCUCUUUUUGAUGCACUUUUCGGUUAACAAGUCAACAUCAAUUUCCUUUGCUGUAAAAAGGUAAGAGGAAGGUGGCUUCAAUUUCGGUUGAAGUGUUUAUAGCCUUUUACCUCUGCAGUCGGGGAGAUUGAGGUCUGCAGCGUAGAUCCUUCGGGGCUAGAUACAUUUAUGCUAAGUUAUAGCUUUUCAUAGACAACUUGUUGACUAUGUUUAGUCAUGUAGCUUACUCGUAAGUGCUAUUUUACCUACGCUUAGGAUGUUGAUAUGCAUGACUGAUAU